ensembl:lncRNA
ACUGUAGCUGAUAACCUGAUAUCAACCUGAUACCGUAGUCAUGCUGAGGCCAUUCAUUGUCUUUAUCUUCUGUGGUGAUGUAUGAGACUAUAAAUGACUGUUAUCAAGCUGAUCAGAGUGAAGAGACUGUACAUGUAGGUUCAUUAUCAUUUCAACACAUACUCAAACCACCCACAGGUCGUAUUGGAUGGACCCACAGGUCAUAUUGAAUGGGCCCACAGGUUGUAAUGCCCACAGGUUAUAUUGAAUGGGCCCACAGGUCGUAUUGGAUGGACCCACAGGUCAUAUUGAAUGGGCCCACAGGUUGUAAUGCCCACAGGUUAUAUUGAAUGGGCCCACAGGUCGUAUUGGAUGGACCCACAGGUCAUAUUGAAUGGACCCACAGGUCGUAUUGAAUGGACCCACAGGUUGUAAUGCCCACAGGUUAUAUUGAAUGGGCACACAGGUUGUAAUGAAUGGGCACACAGGUUGUAAUGAAUGGGCACACAGGUUGUAUUGAAUGGGCCCACAGGUUGUAAUGAAUGGGCCCACAGGUUGUAUUGAAUGGGCCCACAGGUUGUAAUGCCCACAGGUUGUAUUGAAUGGGCCCACAGGUCGUAUUG